rnacentral:lncRNA from 1 species
CUCUCUCAUUUGAUUCCCACCGCCUCUCCUUUUUCUUCUCCGCAUUGCACACCCCUCAAUCGCUCAAAUCUCCAGUAGUCUCCGGCGCCUCCACCGGCUCUGGCCAGUACUUCGUUGAUCUUAGGCUCGGAACCCCACCUCAGAAACUCCUCCUCGUGGCCGACACCGGCAGCGAUUUAGUGUGGGUCAAGUGCUCCGCUUGCCGAAACUGCACCAGACACACACCGGGAUCAGCCUUCUUGGCUCGCCACUCCACCACAUUCUCCCCCAACCACUGUUACGACUCGGCGUGUCAACUCGUUCCCCUCCCAAAACACCAUCGCUGCAACCACGCCCGCCUCCACAGUCCCUGUCGCUACGAGUACUCCUACGGCGACGGAUCCAAAACUAGUGGGUUUUUCUCCAAAGAAACGACGACGUUGAACACCAGCUCCGGCAGGGAAGCCAAGCUGAAAGGGAUAGCUUUCGGGUGUGCGUUUCGGAUCUCUGGUCCCAGUGUUUCGGGUGCGAGCUUCAACGGUGCGCACGGAGUCAUGGGCCUGGGCAGAGGACCCAUCUCCCUAUCUUCUCAACUGGGUCACCGAUUUGGUAACAAGUUCUCAUAUUGUCUCAUGGAUCACGACAUUUCACCAUCUCCAACGAGCUAUCUUCUAAUCGGCAGCACCCAAAACGACGUCGCCCCCGGAAAACGCAGAAUGCGCUUCACACCACUCCAUAUCAACCCUCUCUCCCCCACAUUUUACUAUAUAGGGAUCGAAAGCGUCUCCGUCGACGGCAUCAAAUUACCGAUCAACCCCUCCGUCUGGGCCCUCGACGAACUGGGUAACGGCGGCACCAUUGUCGACUCCGGCACCACCCUCACCUUCCUCCCCGAACCAGCCUACCUCCAGAUCCUAACGGUUAUAAAACGGCGCGUGAGGUUACCGAGUCCAGCUGAGCCGACUCCGGGUUUCGAUCUGUGCGUGAACGUGUCAGAAAUCGAACACCCGCGUCUACCCAAACUGAGUUUCAAACUCGGAGGUGACUCGGUGUUCUCGCCACCUCCAAGAAACUACUUCGUGGAUACGGACGAGGACGUGAAGUGCUUGGCGUUACAGG